rnacentral:lncRNA from 1 species
AUUAUGGGCCCCAAAGGGCAUAAACAUUACAACAUCAAUAAUUUUUUUCAUAAUACAAUACAAACAAUGAGAUAAAAAAAAAAAAAGUUAAACGAGAACUAUUUAAGUUCUUAAAGAAUACGUAGAUAAAGAAUCUAUAGUAUGUUGGUUUUUUUUAAUACUAAUGCAUUUUAUUACAAGUGUGGUUGAUAUAGAUAACAAACAAGCAGCCCAAAAAGAAAAAAAAAGAAAAAUAGAUAUCCACAUAUGUAUAGUACACAAAAAGUUGGAUCAAUCAAAUAUAUAAUAAUUAGCCAAAAAGAAAGUAGAAAUUAAACAUGUCCAUGACUCAUCCUGUGUCAGCAGCAAAUAGGAAAGCAUUAUGGUUUCCUAAAGGCAGCUGACACCAGGGGACGAUACCUUAUGGGCCAUAGGCAUGUAAAAUGUGUGUAAAUGUCUCUUUCCUACCUGUAUCAAAAGCAAACAAGGAAGCAUCAUAGGUAACUUGAAUGCAGUUGAUACCAGGGGACGAUGCCUCAAGGAUAUAAGAGAACAUUUGAAUAAAUAAUAUAUCUUAACAAUUAUUAUUUUUUUUUUUUUUGGCUAGUAUGUUUGUGAUAUUCAGAUGAAUAUAAUUUUCU